rnacentral:rRNA from 1 species
CGCCUCCUGCUAAAUUAAUAUAAGAGGUACUGCCUGCCCGGUGACACCUGUUUAACGGCCGCGGUAUAAUGACCGUGCAAAGGUAGCAUAAUCACUUGUCUCUUAAAUAGAGACCUGUAUGAAUGGCAAAACGAAAGCCCAACUGUCUCAUCAAAUUAAUCAGUGAAAUUGAUAUCCCCGUGCAAAAGCGGAGAUAAUUUUAUAAGACGAGAAGACCCUACGGAGCUUAAAACCUAAAUUAAUAUAAUUAAAUAAAUAAUCCAGGGCUUUAGGUUGGGGCGACCACGGGGAAUAAUAGAACCCCCGAGAUAUAUAGUUAAGAAAAACACUUCAAAAUAACACCACAGUUGAUGUAAUUGACCCAAUAAUUGAUCAACGAACCAAGUUACCCUAGGGAUAACAGCGCAAUCCUCUCAUAGAGUCCAUAUCGACGAGCGGGUUUACGACCUCGAUGUUGGAUCAAGACUACCAAAUGGCGCAGCAGCUAUUAAAGGUUCGUUUGUUCAACGAUUAAAGUCCU